rnacentral:rRNA from 1 species
AGUGAACGCUGGCGGUAGGCCUAACGCAUGCAAGUCGAACGGCAGCACAGGAGAGCUUGCUCUCUAGGUGGCGAGUGGCGGACGGGUGAGGAAUACAUCGGAAUCUGCCCAGUCGUGGGGGAUAACGUAGGGAAACUUACGCUAAUACCGCAUACGACCUUCGGGUGAAAGAGGGGGAUCGCAAGACCUCUCGCGAUUGGAUGAGCCGAUGUCGGAUUAGCUAGUUAGCGGGGUAAUGGCCCACCAAGGCGACGAUCCGUAGCUGGUCUGAGAGGAUGAUCAGCCACACUGGAACUGAGACACGGUCCAGACUCCUACGGGAGGCAGCAGUGGGGAAUAUUGGACAAUGGGCGCAAGCCUGAUCCAGCCAUACCGCGUGGGUGAAGAAGGCCUUCGGGUUGUAAAGCCCUUUUGUUGGGAAAGAAAUCUUUCAGGCUAAUACCCUGGGAGGAUGACGGUACCCAAAGAAUAAGCACCGGCUAACUUCGUG